rnacentral:rRNA from 1 species
AGUGAACGCUGGCGGUAGGCCUAACACAUGCAAGUCGAACGGCAGCACAGUAAGAGCUUGCUCUUACGGGUGGCGAGUGGCGGACGGGUGAGGAAUACAUCGGAAUCUACUUUUUCGUGGGGGAUAACGUAGGGAAACUUACGCUAAUACCGCAUACGACCUACGGGUGAAAGCAGGGGAUCUUCGGACCUUGCGCGAUUGAAUGAGCCGAUGUCGGAUUAGCUAGUUGGCGGGGUAAAGGCCCACCAAGGCGACGAUCCGUAGCUGGUCUGAGAGGAUGAUCAGCCGCACUAGAACUGGGACGCGGUCCAGACUCCUAAGGGAAGCAGCAGUGGGGAAUAUUGGACAGUAGGCGCAAGCCUGAUCCAGCCAUACCGCGUGGGUGAAGAAGGCCUUCGGGUUGUGAAGCCCUUUUGUUGGGAAAGAAAAGCAGCAGGUUGAUACCCCGCUGUUCUGACGGUACCCAGAAAAUAAGCACCGGCUAACUUCGUG